UAGGGAAUCUUCCGCAAUGGGCGAAAGCCUGACGGAGCAACGCCGCGUGAGUGAUGAAGGUCUUCGGAUCGUAAAACUCUGUUAUUAGGGAAGAACAAAUGUGAAAGUAACUAUGCACGUCUUGACGGUACCUAAUCAGAAAGCCACGGCUAACUACGUGCCAGCAGCCGCGGUAAUACGUAGGUGGCAAGCGUUAUCCGGAAUUAUUGGGCGUAAAGCGCGCGUAGGCGGUUUUUUAAGUCUGAUGUGAAAGCCCACGGCUCAACCGUGGAGGGUCAUUGGAAACUGGAAAACUUGAGUGCAGAAGAGGAAAGUGGAAUUCCAUGUGUAGCGGUGAAAUGCGCAGAGAUAUGGAGGAACACCAGUGGCGAAGGCGACUUUCUGGUCUGUAACUGACGCUGAUGUGCGAAAGCGUGGGGAUCAAACAGG
rnacentral:rRNA from 1 species